UACGUAGGGGGCAAGCGUUGUCCGGAUUUAUUGGGCGUAAAGAGCUCGUAGGUGGUUCGGUAAGUCGGAUGUGAAAUCUCAGGGCUCAACCCUGAAACUGCACUUGAUACUGCUCUGCUUGAGGACUGGAGAGGAGACUGGAAUUCACGGUGUAGCAGUGAAAUGCGUAGAUAUCGAGAGGAACACCUGCGGCGAAGGCGGGUUGCUGGGCUGACACUGACGCUGAAGCGCGAAAGCUAGGGGAGCGAACAGGG
rnacentral:rRNA from 1 species